AGCUAGAGUUUGAAGAGUCUAAAGUUGUGCAGAGAGACAUUAGUUUUGCGGACAUAACAAAGAAUAAAGAGCUGGCCUCAACGGUAAAGCUAUUCCUUUAAAUUCCAGUAAUAUAAAAUUUUCCUGGCUGAUUUUCAUUCUAAUAUUAAAGUUGCAGGUUAAAGAAAUGAAACCUGGCCUUGCUCUGGCAGGCAAUAGACCAAGUGCCUAUCUUCUCAAUGUACUACCAUCUAA
rnacentral:misc_RNA from 1 species